GACGAACGCUGGCGGCGUGCCUAACACAUGCAAGUCGAGCGGAGAUGAUGUGAGGAAGUUUUCGGAUGGAAUCACAUUAUUUUAGCGGCGGACGGGUGAGUAACGCGUGAGCGACCAACCUUGCACAGGGGGAUAACGGACCGAACGGUGCACUAAUACCGCAUGAGACCACGGUGUUGCAUGACACAGAGGUCAAAGGAGAGAUCCGGUGCAAGAUGGGCUCGCGUCCGGUUAGGUAGUUGGGGGGGUAACGGCCCACCAAGCCUAUGAUCGGUAGCCGACCUGAGAGGGUGAUCGGCCACAUUGGAACUGAGAUACGGUCCAAACUCCUACGGGAGGCAGCAGUGGGGAAUAUUGGGCAAUGGGGGAAACCCUGACCCAGCAACGCCGCGUGAAGGAAGAAGGUUUUCGGAUUGUAAACUUCUGUCCUUGGUGAAGAGAAGAAGACGGUAGCCAAGGAGGAAGCCCCGGCUAACUACGUGCCAGCCGCCGCGGUAACAC
rnacentral:rRNA from 1 species